rnacentral:misc_RNA from 1 species
CCAAUUUCUUUCAAUUUUUCAUUUCGCAAGUGCAAAUGUUUGAAGAGCUGGUGCGAUGAUAACAUGCACAUGCAUGUGCAAGGGCUCUCAAAGGAUUGCAAAUUUUUGCGAAGUGAAAAAAUGAAGAAACAAAAUGUGCACCUGUAAUUGUACGUUGGCGGUUGCUCAGUGCUUUGUGCUGAACUUGCAUUAAAUUGCAAAGGCCGUCAAUGGUGUUUUUUAAAUAAACGCUUUAAUUUCUUUUUAAAACUUUGUGUUUUUUGUUUAUAAUCUAAACUUAAAUCUCUUGAAACCAAGAA